ACGAUGAAGAGUUUGAUCCUGGCUCAGGAUGAACGCUAGCGGCAGGCCUAACACAUGCAAGUCGAGGGGCAGCAUAGAUAGCUUGCUA
rnacentral:rRNA from 1 species